ACCCUAAGGCUAGCUCAAUCGGUAGAGCGUGAGACUCUUAAUCUCAAGGUUGUGGGUUCGACCCCCACGUUGGGUG